GAUGAACGCUGGCGGCGUGCCUAAUACAUGCAAGUCGAGCGAACAGACGAGGAGCUUGCUCCUCUGACGUUAGCGGCGGACGGGUGAGUAACACGUGGAUAACCUACCUAUAAGACUGGGAUAACUUCGGGAAACCGGAGCUAAUACCGGAUAAUAUAUUGAACCGCAUGGUUCAAUAGUGAAAGACGGUUUUGCUGUCACUUAUAGAUGGAUCCGCGCCGCAUUAGCUAGUUGGUAAGGUAACGGCUUACCAAGGCGACGAUGCGUAGCCGACCUGAGAGGGGGAACGGCCCACCUUGAACUUGGAAAAGGUCCCAAAUCCUAAGGGAGGCAGGAGUAGGGAAACUUCCGGAAUGGGCGAAAGCCUGACGGAGCAACGGCGGGUGAGGGAUGAAGGUCUUCGGAUCGUAAAACCCUGUUAUUAAGGAAGAACAAAUGUGUAAGGAACUAUGCACGUCUUGACGGUACCUAAACAGAAAGCCACGGCUAACUACGUG
rnacentral:rRNA from 1 species